CCUACGGGAGGCAGCAGUGGGGAAUAUUGGGCAAUGGAGGCAACUCUGACCCAGCAACGCCGCGAGAAUGAUGAAGGUCUGCGGAGGGUAAAGUUCUUUUCUAAGGGAAGAAGAAAGUGACGGUACCUUAGGAAUAAGCCUCCGCUAACUACGUGCCAGCAGCCGAGGGAAUACGUAGGAGGCAAGCGUUAUCCGGAAUGACUGGGCGGAAAGGGGGCGUAGGGGGUUUGACAAGUUAGUAGCGCAACUCCGGAGCUCAACUUCGGAACGAAUACUAAAACUGUUGGACUUGAGUGCAGGAGGGGCAAUCGGAAUUCCUAGGGUAGCGGUGGAAUGCGUAGAUAUUAGGAGGAACACCAGUGGCGAAGGCGGAUUGCUAGACUGUAACUGACACUGAGGCACUAAAGCGUGGGGAGCAAACAGGAUUAGAUACCCGGGUAGUC
rnacentral:rRNA from 1 species